GUGGGGAAUCUUGCGCAAUGGGCGAAAGCCUGACGCAGCCAUGCCGCGUGAAUGAUGAAGGUCUUAGGAUUGUAAAAUUCUUUCACCGGGGACGAUAAUGACGGUACCCGGAGAAGAAGCUCCGGCUAACUUCGUGCCAGCAGCCGCGGUAAUACGAAGGGGGCUAGCGUUGCUCGGAAUUACUGGGCGUAAAGGGCGCGUAGGCGGACAGCUUAGUCAGAGGUGAAAGCCCAGGGCUCAACCUUGGAAUUGCCUUUGAUACUGGCUGUCUUGAGUUUGGGAGAGGAGAGUGGAACUCCGAGUGUAGAGGUGAAAUUCGUAGAUAUUCGGAAGAACACCAGUGGCGAAGGCGACUCACUGGCCCAAUACUGACGCUGAGGCGCGAAAGCGUGGGGAGCAAACAGGAUUAGAAACCCCAGUAGUCC
rnacentral:rRNA from 1 species